GCGCCCGUAGCUCAGUUGGAUAGAGCGUAUGCCUCCGGAGCAUAAGGACACAGGUUCAAAUCCUGUCGGGCGUACCA
rnacentral:tRNA from 1 species